AACAGCUGAGCAUGGACAAAGCAGUACAAUGCAGAGAGGACAGGAGAGUGUGAAGAACAGUACUGGAGAGUAAAGAGGAGAACAGACAGGCCAAGGGGUACAGGAACAACAAAGCAGGCAAUAGGUAAAGGAGGGAUUUUAUGCUACCCUGAACUGUGUGUUCAUGACACUAUGGAAGCACUGUGCUGCCGAAAGAAGGGGGCCAAGGGAAGGUCCACACAGGUAGCUCCUGGAUCAUAAAGGCCGUGAAAUGAGGAUCGCUCCUGGGAGUUCAGUUUUAGGGGCUAAUGAAGCAGCUAUGUAUUACUGUAAAAUUUGGGACACGGUUGUACCCCGGGCAUUCUAUACAGACAGAUGAUCUAUGUGCUUCUCACAGUCAGAUGCAGACAAGAUGCCUAGAGACAAAACGGUGCUUGUGCCCUGCAGCAGUGCUGGAUCAAAGCCCUCGUUCCUGGGAAGCAGGUCUGACCUACACACAAGCCAGCAGGGAAGAGUGGCCCAGCCCACUGCAGCGGCCUAGCCUGGCCAUUUCACACUGGGAACAGCAGAGAGCCAGAGUGAAAGUCAACCAUUCAGAGAGGAGAAGGAAGGGCGACAGCAGAACCCCUUCGAAUCCUCACAUACAGGAUGCUCGUCACCAACCAUUAGCACAGCUGCAUACUGCUCUGUGGGGAGCGUUUGCCACUCGCUAAGUCGGGUGUUUCUCUGCUGAGUGGCAAGAGGGACAGUACUUAUCUCUAUUAACCUCUGACCUUGCACAGCUCACAUCUGCAAACUAUCCCGCACCGACAUGAUAGCAGAGAGGCAGGUAUUCUUUUCUCUUUUGUCUGCCCUGAGACGUGCUCCCCAGGGCCACCCAGCUGAAUCCUUGCGAAAACCUCCAGUCUGUGGGGAGUUUUCUGCAGACUGAUUUUUCUUGGCAGAGCGUAAAGCUGUCAUUCAAAGCUGGGCCCUGCGGGAGGCUGGAAGACGAUGCUUCAAGAUGCUGCUGCU